rnacentral:rRNA from 1 species
CUUUGGGAUAACCCUCGGAAACGGGGGCUAAUACUGGAUAUGACCUUCUGCCGCAUGGUGGGGGGUGGAAAGUUUUUCGGCCUGGGAUGGGCUCGCGGCCUAUCAGCUUGUUGGUGGGGUGAUGGCCUACCAAGGCGGUGACGGGUAGCCGGCCUGAGAGGGCGACCGGCCACACUGGGACUGAGACACGGCCCAGACUCCUACGGGAGGCAGCAGUGGGGAAUAUUGCACAAUGGGCGGAAGCCUGAUGCAGCGACGCCGCGUGAGGGAUGACGGCCUUCGGGUUGUAAACCUCUUUCAGCAGGGACGAAGCGGAAGUGACGGUACCUGCAGAAGAAGCGCCGGCCAACUACGUGCCAGCAGCCGCGGUAAGACGUAGGGCGCGAGCGUUGUCCGGAUUUAUUGGGCGUAAAGAGCUCGUAGGCGGCUUGUUGCGUCGACUGUGAAAACCCGGGGCUUAACUGCGGGCUUGCAGUCGAUACGGGCAGGCUGGAGUUCGGUAGGGGAGACUGGAAUUCCUGGUGUAGCGGUGAAAUGCGCAGAUAUCAGGAGGAACACCGGUGGCGAAGGCGGGUCUCUGGGCCGAUACUGACGCUGAGGAGCGAAAGCGUGGGGAGCGAACAGGAUUAGAUACCCUGGUAGUCCACGCUGUAAACGUUGGGCGC